AUAGUUUAUCAGAACAUUUGAGAGGAUUAUAUCAACAUUUUAUGUUUUCACUGGGAGCAAGGCAAUCCCUUCAGUGCUGGCAUUUAGAAUGUGGAUUCAGAAGUCUUUGAGAGUUGCCAGAAAAAGUCCAAUCUCAGAGGGAGACCCAGAUGAUAGGGCACUAAUCAGAAAAUGCAUCGUCCCCGCCAGAUGGUCCGGAUUGCGCCGAGAUACCUCACAGCCUGAAGAAUUGCGAGAGCUGUGAGAAGCAAACUAACAUUUCCAUUCUAGGUUCGAACAUGGAUGGAACUUGAAUAGACCAAAAAUCUCCUGGUCCAUUGAGUUAGUGCAGACCCAGGGUGAUGGGGACACCAUCUCCACAGAAGAAUCUGCUUACAAAUUCUGCACCCCAGGGUGGAUUCUGAAAUUUCUGCGCCAUAUAUGCCUGUGGCUGACUCGAGCUGGUUACAUAUCAUGCCCACUUUGAAGCCAUAGAAGUCCAACCUAUCAUGUGCCCAGAAGGAUUAACAGGUCCUGCUGAAUCCGGAGGUGGAAUGUACAAGGAGCAACGACGCUAGGAGAGUUUGCACAACAGGAGCGAAAUCAUGAGUGUCUUGAGUUUCACUGAGGUGUUCUGGGAAGUCAUCUCUUUGGCUCUUCAGAUAUGAAGCCGGGUUAUGGUAGGAAAACACAAAGGCCAUAAGUCCUGUGGUUUUCAAAGAAGUUCUUCAGUGGAAGGAGGGGAGAGUGGAGCAGAAUAAGGGUGUUGGCUAGACUUUCCCAGGAUUCCCAGGAUUGCUGAAGAGUGUCUGGAGCAUAUACCAAUCUUAUAUACUUUUAUGUGAUGUAAUUAAUUCAUCCAUGAAACAAGAAGGGUUUUUUUCCAUGGGAAAUGUCCUUGAACUGUUGAAACUUGAAAAAAUAAAAAAAGA
rnacentral:sRNA from 1 species